CUCUCUGCUGCAGCCGAGAGCUGUCAAAACUCCAGUGGUCCUGGCCUGCGCAGGUAAACUGGCUGAGGUGGUUUUGCGCAAAGCACAGCUGUCCUCCCAAGAAAUUCCCAAGAUGCGCCAAUGAGUGAGCAGCUGCACAUCGGCGAACACUGAAACGUUUUGUGCUCUACAUGCAUUUCUGAGUCGAGCUCUCUGCGUGAUGGGUCGGGUCGCCGACGGCAAAAACCCGGGCUGCGAGGACGGAAAAAGAAAAGAGCCUGUCCAUGGUGUAGUGGCACAGCGGAGCCUCCUGCCAUUGUUUAAUGGGCUGAAUACUGUCUUCUGCGCCGGCACACAGUUUUGGCGAUGUGGUUAAGCGCCAGGGAGCUGCUCCGUACGUCCUCGCAUGCAUCUUGCUGCCCGGCUGGAGCGCAG